rnacentral:rRNA from 1 species
UACGAGGGGGGCAAGCGUUGUUCGGAAUUAUUGGGCGUAAAGGGCGCGUAGGCGGUGCGGUAAGUCUGUAGUGAAAUCUCUGGGCUCAACUCAGAGUCUGCUAUAGAAACUGCCGUGCUUGAGUGUGGGAGAGGUGAGUGGAAUUCCCGGUGUAGCGGUGAAAUGCGUAGAUAUCAAGAGGAACACCAGUGGCGAAGGCGAGUCCCUGGACAACACCUGACACUGAGGCACGAAAGCUAGGGGAGCAAACAGG